CAGAGCGCAGGCGGAAAACGAAAGCGCAGCACGAGUCGCGGCCGCUUUGUCUCGGGCGCCGCGGGCCUGACGGGGGCGAGUGAGAACCCGCUGGCCCAGAGGCGACCCAGACCGCACAGGCCCCUGAAUAAGCGGCGUGCUCAGUCACUCACCCGUGCGCGCACACCCUCGCGCUCUUGUCCACACAUUAGCACACACAUACAUGUCUUGAUGCACAUGCAAACCCGGUAAAUUACGCAAACAGACGUGUAAACACACCCAUGCGUGUGUGCACACUCAUAUGCAGAGGGCGCUCAGGCAUGUGCGCACCCACUAAUGCACUCGUUGACACGGAAGCUUAAGGCCCACAGGAGCUUAAGUUCGCACUCACUCCCACUCACGCGUACACACGCCACGCUCGGAUCUGAACUCACACGUAGUUCAGUUGCCCUCCCCCACCCCCAACACACACUGAAAACCCGCCUAUUUGGCCCCGCGGCCCCGUUUUCAAAGCGCAGGUUCCGAUUUCCCGAGAGAUGGCAAAGGCCCUGGCAGGAAGUUUACAGGGUUUAACGUAAACAAGUUCUGGGGGAUUCUUUAAUAAUAAUAAUAGAGAAUUCCGCGUGCGCAGGGCGGGAGGGGGGAGUUGGCCUAAUGCCCCUGUGGGCUCGGCCUGCCGCCGCCGCGGGGCCUCUGACACUGCGCGCCAGGCCAGGUUCCUGAGAGCAGACAGCGCGGGCUGGGAGCGCCGGCAAGGGCGGCCCUCGCGCACCUGGCUGCCAGCCCGCAGGGGGCUCGCACGCAGACCUGCCCUUGCCACCUCAGCGCUCGGGUGCGGGCUGGGGGCGGUGGAGCCACGAAAGGUGGUGCCGAGAGCGGAGCGCAGGACAGCGCAGGAGCCCCGGCGCAUCGCGGCGCGCACAGACCCAGGAUUUGUGAAGAGGUGACCCAAAUUUCAAGACAAUGUUGGAUGCAAACGGAUUUGCCAGCAACUGCAUCACUGUCAAAACCAGCUCUGCCCGUGUCUUCCGAAGAUACCAAGUGAAAUACAUGUAGAUGGGAUUUACAUCUGAAAAACCAAGGCAAGAGGCCAUGGGAAGGGACGGAGGUGGAACAGGACUGGACAGAAGCUGAUAAAUGGUUGUUGCUGAGUACUGGGCAGAUAGGGGUUGGUUAUCCUAUUGUCUUUACUUUCAUAUAUUUUAUUUUUUCUGUAAUAAAACAAAUUAAAAUCACCUGUCGUGACCUCACAGGGGCCAGUGUGGGUUGUGGCGUGAGGCAGGAAGCUCUGCAGAGUUCCUUGGUCAAAAGGAUUAAUUACAAAAGAACUCCAUGAACACCGAGAAGAAGAGAAGGGAAUCCUGGCAUUUAAAGCCACAAAGAAACUUGAUAUGGUCUUGUCUCCUUCUCUCAAUUGACAGUGAGAAACUGAAGACCAGAGAGGGUGAGUGGUUUACUCAGUUUGGCACAACUGACCCCAACCUAGCCCUCCAUGAGGACUGAGCGCAUGAGAGAUCCUGAGCCACAGCCGCCCAGCCCUGCUCCUCUCGAAUUUCUGACCUACAGGAACUGCAAGAAGUAAUGAAAGACUGCUGUUUAAAGCCACUGCAUUUUGGCAUGAUUUGUUAUGCAGUCGUAGAUAACCAGAAAACAUCGGAUUUACAUUUUAAGGAUUACUUCAUGCACAUAAAAGAAAACGCAACUACAGUGGACCCUGAACAACGUAGGAAACAGAGAAGCAAAGAAGUUAGCAAGCUUGUUUUGGCAGAAGAAAAAACACAAAAUACCCAACCACAGAUCCUCAAAAAUAUUGCUAAGCACUAAUUUUGCUAACAUGUUAGACAGCCUUCGGAUCUAGGCAAUCUUGUUCCUCAGCUGGAAAGAGUUCCUGCCAGCCAUGUGAUUCCAAAUCCACCCUGGACAUAUGGGGAUAAUGAGAAAAUCAGCUCCGGCCUUCCCUGGCCUUCCAGCCAAGUGAAUGGGGGCAUCCCCUGGUGCUUCAGCCCGGGGCCCACCCAGAGGAUGCUAGCUGGCCUGCAGAGGCCUCAACCAUGCCCUCCUGGACUCAGGUAAGACUGAGGUUUCCAUGCCCUCAAAACAAUUGUUCAGACAAAAACUCACUGCCCAGGUCAAAGUCACAGCACCAGAAAGCCAACCUGAGGAUGAAGACAAAGCUCUUUGUUGGCACAGUCCCCUGAUCAUUCGAGGUCAGCAUCUCCAUCAAAAUGGACCCAAUGCUGAGGCAAGAAGGAGAACAUCACUGUUAAGAAGGUAAUGAGUCACAAAUGCUAUUUCGAUGGUUUUCUUUGAAAGAAAUACACAGAACCAAACCAAUUUUAAUUAAAGAUCUUGUCUUUGUAAUCAGGCAGCCACAAAUGAAGGCAAAACUGCUUUCAUGUGGCAUAAUAUACACAGAGCUGAACUAGUUUUCCCAUAAAAGGGCAGGUUCUUUUCUUCAAAUAAGAAAAGAGUUUGUUCCUAACAAUAUGGGGGAUGCAACAGAAAGCUGUCUUUUGCAAAGUAUAAAAUUGCAGAUCCUCCCGUGGAAGCCAUUUCUUGAUGCUAAACCAAUGCGAACGUUUGCCAAACGCACAUGCGAGCCGGGAUUAUCCUACCCUUUGAGAUUAGACAUGUGAUCCUGAUUUUUAAGUGAAAAACGCAGCCAGAGGCCAAAUAAACAUACCUACAAGUACAUCGAAAGCUCAAAUGGUUGAGAAAUGAUUGUAACACACCCCGGUGUGUAUUUCUGAGGAAGAAUCAACAUGCACAUGGAAAUUGAUGUUUUGAUUUUUAAUUUUAAAACGACGACAGAACUGAAAUACCUCCCCUAACUAGGUCCACUGAAACCAGUGAGGAGAUAAUCAUUUUCAGUUAAAUAUGCAUGUAAUUUAAUAAUCCACAGAUGGAAAAUGCAUUUGAGGUGGACUGAACACAGCCAGGAGUUUUUGCUUAUCGACAGCACUGAAUCCUGCCUUGACUAGAGAGACUCGUCAUGUGAUCAACUGUGGCCAGAGGGCAUCCUGCAGACAGCUCCUGUCACACCACACUGACCAGACUCUUAUGAGUAUUUAAGCAUCUUCAGGGAAGCGAUUGACUGUCUUAUAAUGGUCUUACAAGUACGGAACUUUAUUACCUGCUAAUAAUCAGAGCACAUGAUGGCACAAUAGAAUAUACGAGUGAAGUUCUAAAUGCAAGGUUGUUCUUAUUCUGUGAGUGGCAAAACUCAUGCAGUGAGCAGAUAAAGCUGGCAGGAGGCAUUGGCGCCCUAAUGCUGGGCACUAACCACCUGCCCGGACUGCGAAUAUCUGUUGGGUCCUUUCUAUAUCUGGUCUAUUCUCGUGUUUGAUUAUAUCCUGGUGGCAAGAAUAGCAAAAUCAACUCUCCUUCCUAUCCCAUGUGGAGAGGCAUGAUUUGAGUCAGAGAGCAUUAUCCUCUCUGCGUUAUCCAACCCCAUGUCCCAUGAUGCACUUUGUAGACAAGCAAGUGUCCCUGGUGGAGAAUCCACAGCCACACAUCCUCAUUGGUUGCAAGGAUCAGUGUCCAAUAUCUACUGCCAUGAUCAUUCUCAGUUUUACAUCCACAGAGCUUCAUAGAAUUCUAACACCACAGGUCCAAGUAGAGGUUUUGGCCUCAGAGUGGGCUAGAUUCCACCUCUGACAGCAGCUGUGGGACUGUUUUUCCAUCUGUAAAAUGGAGACAAGAGUAUCACCUACCUCAUGGUGUUGGUGGGAUCGUUAAACAGAAUUCCGAUCAUGAAACCCUUAGCCUGCUCCCUGCAUAGGCUGCAUGCGCUCAGUGAGCUAUGGCUCUGUUUCAUGCUGACUUUACCAUCAUGUAAGCAGUUUUAAAAAUGCUAGAAGCUUUAGUCAUAGAAUUACCAUAUGAUACAGCCUACUGCAGAGUCCAGAGGCUGAGGCAGGAGAGUUACUUGAACCUGGGAGGCGGAGGUUGCAGUGAGCCAAGAUCGCGCCACUGCACUCCAGCCUGGGCAACAGAGUGAGAUUCUGUCUCAACACAAAAAAGAAGACAUGUGUCCCCAUCACAGUAUCAUACAGAGUGCUUCCACUGCCCUAAAAUACCCUGUGCUCUUCCUAUUCAUCCCUCUCUUCAACCCCAGCAACCACUGAUCCUUUUACCAUCUCCAUGGUUUUGCCUUUCCCAGAAUGUCAUAUUGUUGGAAUCAUACGCUAUGUAGCCUUUGCAAAUGGGCUUCUUUCACCGAGCAAUGUGCAUUGAAGGUGCCUCUAUGACUUUUCAAGGGUUGAUAGCUCAUUCCUUUUUAUUGCUAAAUAAUAUUCCAUUGUCUGAAUGUACCACAUUUUGUUUAUCCAUUCACCUACUAAAGGACAUCUUGGUUGCUUCCAAGUUUGGGCAAUUAUAAAUAAAACUGCUAUAAACAUUGUGUGCAGGUUUUUUUUUCUAGAUGUCAGUUUUUAACUCAUUUGGACUAUAGAGCACUAUUGCUGGAUCAUAUGAUACGUGUGUGUUUAGUUUUAUGAGAAACUGCCAAACUGUCUUCCAAAGUGGCUGCACCAUUUUGCAUUCCCACCGUCAAUGAAUGAGAGCUCCGGUUGUUCCACAUCCUCACCAGCAUUUGGUGUUGUCAUUGUUUUGGAUUUUAGCCAUUUCAUAGGUGUGUAGAGGUAGCUCAUUGUUUUAAUCUAAUAAACAUCUUAUUGAAGAAUAACACACAAGCAGAAAAUUUCAGAGAUACAAACGAACAGCUUUUUCAACCAUCACCCACUGGAUACAGUUCUGUAUCCAGCACCCAGGCCAAGAAACUGACACUAACGGUGCCCUGUGCCC
rnacentral:lncRNA from 10 species